GUCAUAUUUAUACAUGUACUGCACAGUUUAUAAGAAUCGACUGUGUAGCUUAGUGUUUUAUUUUUGUGGAAUGUCAAAUCUGAGUCGGCACGGUUGUGCAGUGGUUAGCACUAUCGCCUCAAAACGAGAGGGUUCCGGGUUCGAACCCGCCUUGGGCCCUUCUGUGUGGAGUUAGCGUGGGUUUUCUCCGGGUUCUCGUCCGAAGACAUGUAGGUUCACCAGAAACUCCUACAGCUCAGACUCCAGCGACCAGCCCGCCCUGGACAGACCGCCUGGCAUACAGUGGCUCCUCCUUCGGCCAGGAGCAGAGCUUCACCUCGCUGCUCCGCUGGGAGCCAACACCGUCACCACGCUGCUGGAGGCCCAGGCCGUAUUGAAGGAGCCCACUGGAAGGAUGUGAGGCACGGGAGAACCAGAACCAGGACUGCACGGGACAGACUGUCAGACCUUGCUGCAGUAAAAUGAGAGGUUUUCUAAAGGGAUUCUGGUACUCAGAAACACUACCAAUUUUUGUCCACAGGGACCACCAAAAUCGACACAAAUGGAAAGUUCCUCGUAGAGGGAUUCUUAUUGUAUUGUGCAUUGUAAUUCAGUAUUUAAAAGCUGCACUAAUCAAUAUUUUUAUAUGAACAAUAUCAAUAUGUAGUGUGGAAGGUGUUGCUCAUGGUCACGAACCUACAGAUAAUUAUCACCCGACAUUGCGGACCAUGCUCAUCAGAUCUGUGUAACUUUUUAGCAUCUACUCAUUGUUUUGGUUUGGCGACCAGUAAAAAGUUCAGCUGUUUCAAGCAAAAAUGCUCUGACAAACGCACUGUCUUCUACGGUGAACAUAUUGUAGUGCUUUUUUUUGUUUUGUUUGUUUUUUUCUGUUAAAGAGCUUGAUGUUUUUUUUCAAGAGUUGGUGGAGACCAAAAAGGAGUGUAAAUAGUAUUUUCACAGUUGGCUAGAAACAUGACUUGAAAUUAAUGCUAAUGUAGCACCUUGUCUGCAUAAAUAAACAACUAUUUGCUGUUAUGUACAGUAUAUAUAA